GGGUUGUGAGGUUAAGCGACUAAGCGUACACGGUGGAUGCCCUGGCAGUCAGAGGCGAUGAAGGGCGUGCUAAUCUGCGAUAAGCGCCGGUAAGGUGAUAUGAACCGUUAUAACCGGCGAUACCCGAAUGGGGAAACCCAGUGUGAUUCGUCACACUAUCAUUAACUGAAUCCAUAGGUUAAUGAGGCGAACCGGGGGAACUGAAACAUCUAAGUACCCCGAGGAAAAGAAAUCAACCGAGAUUCCCCCAGUAGCGGCGAGCGAACGGGGAGGAGCCCAGAGCCUGAAUCAGCAUGUGUGUUAGUGGAAGCGUCUGGAAAGGCGCGCGAUACAGGGUGACAGCCCCGUACACAAAAGCGCAUGUGCUGUGAGCUCGAUGAGUAGGGCGGGACACGUGGUAUCCUGUCUGAAUAUGGGGGGACCAUCCUCCAAGGCUAAAUACUCCUGACUGACCGAUAGUGAACCAGUACCGUGAGGGAAAGGCGAAAAGAACCCCGGCGAGGGGAGUGAAAAAGAACCUGAAACCGUGUACGUACAAGCAGUGGGAGCNNGUGACUGCGUACCUUUUGUAUAAUGGGUCAGCGACUUAUAUUCUGUAGCAAGGUUAACCGUAUAGGGGAGCCGGAGGGAAACCGAGUCUUAAUUGGGCGUUAAGUUGCAGGGUAUAGACCCGAAACCCGGUGAUCUAGCCAUGGGCAGGUUGAAGGUUGGGUAACACUAACUGGAGGACCGAACCGACUAAUGUUGAAAAAUUAGCGGAUGACCUGUGGCUGGGGGUGAAAGGCCAAUCAAACCGGGAGAUAGCUGGUUCUCCCCGAAAGCUAUUUAGGUAGCGCCUCGUGAAUUCAUCUCCGGGGGUAGAGCACUGUUUCGGCUAGGGGGCCAUCCCGGCUUACCAACCCGAUGCAAACUGCGAAUACCGGAGAAUGUUAUCACGGGAGACACACGGCGGGUGCUAACGUCCGUCGUGAAGAGGGAAACAACCCAGACCGCCAGCUAAGGUCCCAAAGUCAUGGUUAAGUGGGAAACGAUGUGGGAAGGCCCAGACAGCCAGGAUGUUGGCUUAGAAGCAGCCAUCAUUUAAAGAAAGCGUAAUAGCUCACUGGUCGAGUCGGCCUGCGCGGAAGAUGUAACGGGGCUAAACCAUGCACCGAAGCUGCGGCAGCGANNUGCUGGAGGUAUCAGAAGUGCGAAUGCUGACAUAAGUAACGAUAAAGCGGGUGAAAAGCCCGCUCGCCGGAAGACCAAGGGUUCCUGUCCAACGUUAAUCGGGGCAGGGUGAGUCGACCCCUAAGGCGAGGCCGAAAGGCGUAGUCGAUGGGAAACGGGUUAAUAUUCCCGUACUUGGUGUUACUGCGAAGGGGGGACGGAGAAGGCUAUGUUGGCCGGGCGACGGUUGUCCCGGUUUAAGCGUGUAGGUGUGUGUUCCAGGUAAAUCCGGUUCACUUUAACACUGAGGCGUGACGACGAGGCACUACGGUGCUGAAGCAACAAAUGCCCUGCUUCCAGGAAAAGCCUCUAAGCAUCAGGUAACAUCAAAUCGUACCCCAAACCGACACAGGUGGUCAGGUAGAGAAUACCAAGGCGCUUGAGAGAACUCGGGUGAAGGAACUAGGCAAAAUGGUGCCGUAACUUCGGGAGAAGGCACGCUGACACGUAGGUGAAGUGAUUUACUCAUGGAGCUGAAGUCAGUCGAAGAUACCAGCUGGCUGCAACUGUUUAUUAAAAACACAGCACUGUGCAAACACGAAAGUGGACGUAUACGGUGUGACGCCUGCCCGGUGCCGGAAGGUUAAUUGAUGGGGUCAGCGCAAGCGAAGCUCCUGAUCGAAGCCCCGGUAAACGGCGGCCGUAACUAUAACGGUCCUAAGGUAGCGAAAUUCCUUGUCGGGUAAGUUCCGACCUGCACGAAUGGCGUAAUGAUGGCCAGGCUGUCUCCACCCGAGACUCAGUGAAAUUGAACUCGCUGUGAAGAUGCAGUGUACCCGCGGCAAGACGGAAAGACCCCGUGAACCUUUACUAUAGCUUGACACUGAACAUUGAGCCUUGAUGUGUAGGAUAGGUGGGAGGCUUUGAAGUGUGGACGCCAGUCUGCAUGGAGCCGACCUUGAAAUACCACCCUUUAAUGUUUGAUGUUCUAACGUGGACCCGUAAUCCGGGUUGCGGACAGUGUCUGGUGGGUAGUUUGACUGGGGCGGUCUCCUCCUAAAGAGUAACGGAGGAGCACGAAGGUUGGCUAAUCCUGGUCGGACAUCAGGAGGUUAGUGCAAUGGCAUAAGCCAGCUUGACUGCGAGCGUGACGGCGCGAGCAGGUGCGAAAGCAGGUCAUAGUGAUCCGGUGGUUCUGAAUGGAAGGGCCAUCGCUCAACGGAUAAAAGGUACUCCGGGGAUAACAGGCUGAUACCGCCCAAGAGUUCAUAUCGACGGCGGUGUUUGGCACCUCGAUGUCGGCUCAUCACAUCCUGGGGCUGAAGUAGGUCCCAAGGGUAUGGCUGUUCGCCAUUUAAAGUGGUACGCGAGCUGGGUUUAGAACGUCGUGAGACAGUUCGGUCCCUAUCUGCCGUGGGCGCUGGAGAACUGAGGGGGGCUGCUCCUAGUACGAGAGGACCGGAGUGGACGCAUCACUGGUGUUCGGGUUGUCAUGCCAAUGGCACUGCCCGGUAGCUAAAUGCGGAAGAGAUAAGUGCUGAAAGCAUCUAAGCACGAAACUUGCCCCGAGAUGAGUUCUCCCUGAGACUUAGAGUCUCCUGAAGGAACGUUGAAGACGACGACGUUGAUAGGCCGGGUGUGUAAGCGCAGCGAUGCGUUGAGCUAACCGGUACUAAUGA
rnacentral:rRNA from 1 species